rnacentral:rRNA from 1 species
AUACGGAGGAUGCGAGCGUUAUCCGGAUUUAUUGGGUUUAAAGGGUGCGUAGGCGGAUAGAUAAGUCAGUGGUGAAAUUCUGCAGCUUAACUGUAGACUUGCCGUUGAUACUGUCAGUCUUGAGUAUGGUCAAGGCAGGCGGAAUGUGUAAUGUAGCGGUGAAAUGCUUAGAUAUUACACAGAACACCGAUUGCGAAGGCAGCUUGCUGGGCCAUUACUGACGCUGAUGCACGAAAGCGUGGGGAUCGAACAGGAUUAGAUACCCUGGUAGUCCACGCCGUAAACGAUGAUCACUCGCUGUUGGCGAUACACAGUCAGCGGCUAAGCAAAAGCAUUAAGUGAUCCACCUGGGGAGUACGGCCGCAAGGCUGAA